rnacentral:misc_RNA from 1 species
GAUGAAGAACGCAGCGAAAUGCGAUAAGUAGUGUGAAUUGCAGAAUUCAGUGAAUCAUCGAAUCUUUGAACGUACAUUGCGCCCCUUGGUAUUCCAUGGGGCAUGCCUGUUCGAGCGUCAUUUGUACCUUCAAGCUUUGCUUGGUGUUGGGUGUUUGUCCUGAGGGACUCGCCUUAAAGUGAUUGGCAGCCAGUGUUUGGUUUUGAAGCGCAGCACAAGUCGCGAUUCAAAGCUAUACGCCCGCUUCCACAAGCCUUUUUCACUUUUGACCUCGGAUCAGGUAGGGAUACCCGCUGAACUUAAGCAUAUCAAUAAGCGGAGGA